AUGCAAUUAUCUUUAGGGACGUCUCUUAAUCAAGAGACAGAAGAGACGCCUCUUGUAGACAGACGUCACUUUCUCUUGCUUCCUGUUGAAUCUCUCGUCCCCUUCCCAGAAUCAGAUGAAUCUGUCUCCUCUCUUCCUCACUUUUGAUUGAUAAUACUCAUGAGUGGAAGUUCAAGCAGGGAGGCCCUUUGUGGCAUUGUAGGUUUCAAUUGAAUCAAUACUCUCUCUGAUGCUUUCCUUGAAUCAAUAGAGAGGAGGAGGGAAGGAUAAUGGAAUCGAAACCCAGUGGACCAGUGGCGUUAACAGCGGAGGAAGAAGCCGUUUCCUUGAAUCAGUCUCUCUCUCUCUCUCUAUCUGAAACCAUUAAGCAUGCCAUCAGAUCCCAGAAUCGUGUCAUUGUUGAAGGAAAUAAUCUGGUUUGUAUUGGAGACUUUGAUUGAUUCCUACUUCUACAACACUUGGUCCCUCAUUUGUCGGCUGCGAGAGGUGGGCGGAUACUUCUUCAUCUCGUGAAGAACACUCCUAACAUAGACAAACGCUCGCUUCAAGAUCUGCUCUUCUUUCUCCAUGUUCCUCGAACUGGAGGCAGGACUUCUUUUCACUGUUUCUUGAGGAAGUUUCCUGAGUUUGCUGAGUUUCUGAUGCAGCAACGGCAGUGGCGUAUUGGAAUUACUUCAUACGGCUAGAGAUGAAGCUGAGUAUGUUGUGUUGCGCUGUAUCACAUGGUUUUUUCUCACAGUGGUUGCAAACUCAAAGAGGGAUUGUCUGGUUGAUCUUGCUUUCUUGUUGUCACUUCAGAACGAGCUGUGGAGUGAGAACCAUUUGGUUGUGCAACUGAUUCUACUCUUUUGGUACCCUGCAAGUGUUGAAGAGGAAGAUUAUUUUGCUGUGUGGCAUUGCUGGAAAUACAGAGAGUUACAAGCAGCACGUUGUGGCAGUAUUCAGGGCCAGUGUGCCUAUGAACAGAGAGGAUUAAAAGGCUGGUUUCUGUGUACAUGUUCCUCAUUUACGCAUCUCCUAUAGAAGAUUACUUUGAGAUAACAAUGUUUUUUUUUUAAGAACUUCAAAAUAAGAGACUACCAUUGGAGACCCAAAAUCAAUAAGUUCUUAACUAAA